CGAAAGCCUGACGGAGCAACGCCGCGUGAGGGAGGAAGGCCCUUGGGUUGUAAACCUCUUUUGAUGGGGAAGAAUUCUGACGGUACCCAUCGAAUCAGCAUCGGCUAACUCCGUGCCAGCAGCCGCGGUAAUACGGAGGAUGCAAGCGUUAUCCGGAAUUAUUGGGCGUAAAGCGUCCGCAGGUGGCUUUUCAAGUCGGCUGUCAAAGCAUGGAGCUUAACUCCAUAGAGGCGGUGGAAACUGAAAGGCUAGAGGCCGGUAGGGGUAGUGGGAAUUCCCAGUGUAGCGGUGAAAUGCGUAGAGAUUGGGAAGAACAUCGGUGGCGAAAGCGCACUACUGGGCAGGACCUGACACUGAGGGACGAAAGCUAGGGGAGCGAAAGGGAUUAGAUACCCCUGUAGUCCUAGCCGUAAACGAUGGAGACUAGGCGUAGCUUGUAUCGACCCGAGCUGUGCCGAAGCUAACGCGUUAAGUCUCCCGCCUGGGGAGUACGCACGCAAGUGUGAAACUCAAAGGAAUUGACGGGGGCCCGCACAAGCGGUGGAGUAUGUGGUUUAAUUCGAUGCAACGCGAAGAACCUUACCAGGGCUUGACAUCUGUAGAACCUGAGUGAAAGCUUGGGGUGCCUUCGGGAGCUACAAGACAGGUGGUGCAUGGCUGUCGUCAGCUCGUGUCGUGAGAUGUUGGGUUAAGUCCCGCAACGAGCGCAACCCUCGUUCUUAGUUGCCAGCAUUAAGUUGGGCACUCUAGGGAGUCUGCCGGUGACAAACCGGAGGAAGGUGGGGAUGACGUCAAGUCAGCAUGCCCCUUACGUCCUGGGCAACACACGUACUACAAUGGUCGAGACAGAGGGCAGCGACCUCGCAAGAGCAAGCGAAUCUCAUCAAACUCGGCCUCAGUUCAGAUUGCAGGCUGCAACUCGCCUGCAUGAAGGAGGAAUCGCUAGUAAUCGCCGGUCAGCAUACGGCGGUGAAUUCGUUCCCGGGCCUUGUACACACCGCCCGUCACACCAUGGGAGCUGGCCACGCCCGAAGUCGUUACCCUAACCCCGAAAGGGGAGGGGGAUGCCGAAGGCAGGGCUAGUGACUGGGGUGAAGUCGUAACAAGGUAGCCGUACCGGAAGGUGUGGCUGGAUCACCUCCUUU
rnacentral:rRNA from 1 species